rnacentral:rRNA from 1 species
GACGAACCGUCCUAACGUUAUUCGGAAUCACUGGGCUUAAAGGGCGCGUAGGCGGGUGCUCAAGUCUGUGGUGAAAUCCUCCGGCUCAACCGGAGAACUGCCAUGGAUACUGGGCGUCUCGAGUGUGGUAGGGGUAUGCGGAACUAUCGGUGGAGCGGUGAAAUGCGUUGAUAUCGAUAGGAACUCCGGUGGCGAAGGCGGCAUACUGGACCACCACUGACGCUGAUGCGCGAAAGCCAGGGGAGCAAACGGG